AACGAAGUAGAAAUGUCAAAUUGUCAAAGUGCACAAAUGAAGCAAACAAAAAUAUAAAAUAAUAACAAAAACAUCAGUGCAGAAAUUGUUAGAUAGCAAUUACCAUAACCUACAAAAGUUGAAAAUGUCUGAAGAAACAAAUUCAAACACAAUAAUCAAAAUUGAACCGAUCGAAUAUCCUCAAGUUAAACCAGAAC